rnacentral:lncRNA from 1 species
UUUCCACAAAGCGGUUUCCUCGGCCCCCGUCUCCUCCAAUUUCCGUACCCACCUACGCGGGGACGCAUCGCCUGCGACGGUCUCAAGCCCACCGAUCGAUUCUCCGAGGAUUCGUCUCGAGGAACGCGAGACGAUCUCUCGAGUUCAGUUGUCGGGUAAUCCCCGUUCUUUCUCUUUUGUUUCCGAUCUCGACCUAGGUUUUUGCUCAAUACAGAUCCAGUGGACCUGUUCGUCUUUCGUGCGUUGGACUCUUCGGAUCUGCUGAUUCUAGUACGGUCUGUUCCUUUGAUCGGCCACUGGGUGCUUCACUUGUACGUUUCAUCUAAUUAUUGUUUACGGUAGUAGAUCUAGGGUUUCGUUUCUUCUGUUGGUCUAGGGUUUAUUGAUUGAUGCAAUAAGUGCAGCGGAAUUUAGUAGAUCGACAUGGAUUUGGUGGUAGGGAUGAGCG